rnacentral:ncRNA from 2 species
GCCCUCCCGCGUGACUGGCGAGAGAGAUGGAGCACCAUCGGGGAGCGCGGGGCCAUGCCGUUUGCCGCUCGCCUGGGCAAUCCAC